GUUCUUAAUUAUACUAAUUUUGUUUAUAUUAGAGUUUGUAUUAUAAGUAUUCUCUCUCUAUAAACUUUGAGAUGAUUGAAAAAGAAAGUUAACAAAAAUUAUAUGAGAGUUAAUAAUUUGAAAAAGAAAGUUACCAAUAACAUGAAAUGAUUGAGAUGAUGAGUUUACAAAACAUGCUUUAAACUCAAAACCACUUGACAAUUUUUACAUGUAAACAUGUUCGAUAACUAUAUUAUGCAAGAAAAUUAUACCUAUCUUUUUUAUUUUAGUUUAUAAAAGAAAAGUAUAUUCUCGGAUACUGGAGCUUCCCAUCGUAUGACAAGCUAAUUUCGGAUUGUUCAGUGAGUUUUUUAAUAGCAAAAUGAAACAGUUACAUUGUUGUACAUAAUAAAUGUGUUUCGCAGAAAUGUUUUUCAACAACUUUGAUUGGCUUCAACAUUAGGUUUUUGAAAUCUGUCUCUCAUGUAUUCUC
rnacentral:lncRNA from 1 species